UAUUGGACAAUGGGCGAAAGCCUGAUCCAGCAAUGCCGCGUGAGUGAUGAAGGCCUUAGGGUUGUAAAGCUCUUUUACCAGGGAUGAUAAUGACAGUACCUGGAGAAUAAGCUCCGGCUAACUCCGUGCCAGCAGCCGCGGUAAUACGGAGGGAGCUAGCGUUGUUCGGAAUUACUGGGCGUAAAGAGUACGUAGGCGGUGAUUCAAGUCAGAGGUGAAAGCCUGGAGCUCAACUCCAGAACUGCCUUUGAAACUAGAUCGCUAGAAUCAUGGAGAGGUUAGUGGGAUUCCGAGUGUAGAGGUGAAAUUCGUAGAUAUUCGGAAGAACACCAGUGGCGAAGGCGACUAACUGGACAUGUAUGACGCUGAGGUACGAAA
rnacentral:rRNA from 1 species